rnacentral:rRNA from 1 species
GACGUAGGGCGCGAGCGUUGUCCGGAAUUAUUGGGCGUAAAGAGCUCGUAGGCGGCUUGUCACGUCGGAUGUGAAAGCCCGGGGCUUAACUCCGGGUCUGCAUUCGAUACGGGCUGGCUAGAGUGUGGUAGGGGAGAUCGGAAUUCCUGGUGUAGCGGUGAAAUGCGCAGAUAUCAGGAGGAACACCGAUGGCGAAGGCAGGUCUCUGGGCAUUAACUGACGCUGAGGAGCGAAAGCAUGGGGAGCGAACAGG